rnacentral:rRNA from 1 species
CUAUUAUGGAGAGUUUGAUCCUGGCUCAGGACGAACGCUGGCGGCGUGCCUAAUACAUGCAAGUCGAGCGAAUGAUGAAGAAGCUUGCUUCUUCUGAUUUAGCGGCGGACGGGUGAGUAACACGUGGGCAACCUGCCCUGUAGAUUGGGAUAACUCCGGGAAACCGGGGCUAAUACCGAAUAAUCCAUUUUCUCACAUGAGGAAAUGUUAAAAGACGGCAUCUCGCUGUCACUACAGGAUGGGCCCGCGGCGCAUUAGCUAGUUGGUGGGGUAAUGGCUCACCAAGGCGACGAUGCGUAGCCGACCUGAGAGGGUGAUC